GGCUUCAUAGCUCAGUUGGUAUAGCAACGCACUAGUAACGCGGAGGUCAUGAGUUCAAAUCCCGUUGAAGCCA
rnacentral:tRNA from 1 species